ACUCAAAUGAAUUGACGGGGGUCAGCACAAGCGGUGGAGCAUGUGGUUUAAUUCGAUAAAACGCGCAGAACCUUACCAGUCCUUGACAGUUAAUUCAUUUGGUCUUUUUAAUAAAGAUCAUUUAUUUCCUAUGAAUUAUUUAUUACAGGUGCUGCAUGGCUGUCGUCAGUUCGUGUUGUGAAAUGUUUGGUUAAGUCCUUUUAACGAACGCAACCCUCAUUCUUGUUGCUCUCGAUUUUUUUUUUUAUACGAUUUAAUCGAGCACUCUCGAAAAUUUUUGAUGAAAAUCUUAAGUAAGAGGAUGACGUCAAGUCCUCAUGGCCCUUAUGGACUGGGCUACACAUGUGCUACAAUGGUGAUUACAAAAGGAAGCAAUGAUUCAAGUCGGAGCAAAACCUCAAAAAUCAUCUUAGUUCGGAUUGUUCUCUGCAACUCGAGAAUAUCAAGUUGGAAUCGCUAGUAAUCGUAGAUCAGCACGCUACGGUGAAUAAGUAAACUGACCUUGCACACACCGCCCGU
rnacentral:rRNA from 1 species